rnacentral:rRNA from 1 species
UUAAGCAUAUCAAUAAGCGGAGGAAAAGAAACCAACAGGGAUUGCCCCAGUAACGGCGAGUGAAGCGGCAACAGCUCAAAUUUGAAAUCUGGCCUCGGCCCGAGUUGUAAUUUGCAGAGGAUGCUUCUGGCGAGGCACCGACCGAGUCCCCUGGAACGGGGCGCCAUAGAGGGUGAGAGCCCCGUAUGGUCGGACGCUUAGCCUGUGUGAAGCUCCUUCGACGAGUCGAGUAGUUUGGGAAUGCUGCUCAAAAUGGGAGGUAAAUUUCUUCUAAAGCUAAAUACCGGCCAGAGACCGAUAGCGCACAAGUAGAGUGAUCGAAAGAUGAAAAGCACUUUGAAAAGAGGGUUAAAUAGCACGUGAAAUUGUUGAAAGGGAAGCGCUUGUGACCAGACUUGCGCCUGGCCGAUCAUCCGGGGUUCUCCCCGGUGCACUCGGCCAGGCUCAGGCCAGCAUCGGUUCUCUCGGGGGGACAAAGGCUCCGGGAACGUAGCUCCCUCCGGGGAGUGUUAUAGCCCGGGGCGUAAUGCCCUCGAGGGGACCGAGGACCGCGCUUCGGCAAGGAUGCUGGCGUUACGGUCAUCAGCGACCCGUCUUGAAACACGGACCAAGGAGUCAAGGUUUUGCGCGAGUGUUUGGGUGUAAAACCCGCACGCGUAAUGAAAGUAAACGUAGGUGAGAGCUUCGGCGCAUCAUCGACCGGCCCAGAUGUUCUCGGAAGGGCCUGAGUAGGAGCGUUAAGCCUUGGACCCGAAAGAUGGUGAACUAUGCUUGGAUAGGGUGAAGCCAGAGGAAACUCUGGUGGAGGCUCGCAGCGGUUCUGACGUGCAAAUCGAUCGUCAAAUCUGAGCAUGGGGGCGAAAGACUAAUCGAACCAUCUAGUAGCUGGUUACCGCCGAAG